rnacentral:rRNA from 11 species
CACAUGACUCUCGGCAACGGAUAUCUCGGCUCUCGCAUCGAUGAAGAACGUAGCAAAAUGCGAUACCUGGUGUGAAUUGCAGAAUCCCGUGAACCAUCAAGUUUUUGAACGCAAGUUGCGCCCGAGGCCUUCUGGUCGAGGGCACGUCUGCCUGGGCGUCACGC